AGCGAACGCUGGCGGCAGGCCUAACACAUGCAAGUCGAACGAACCCUUCGGGGUUAGUGGCGGACGGGUGAGUAACACGUGGGAACGUGCCUUUAGGUUCGGAAUAACUCAGGGAAACUUGUGCUAAUACCGAAUGUGCCCUUCGGGGGAAAGAUUUAUCGCCUUUAGAGCGGCCCGCGUCUGAUUAGCUAGUUGGUGAGGUAAUGGCUCACCAAGGCUACGAUCAGUAGCUGGUCUGAGAGGAUGACCAGCCACAUUGGGACUGAGACACGGCCCCAACUCCGACGGGAGGCAGCAGUGGGGAAUCUUGCGCAAUGGGCGAAAGCCUGACGCAGCCAUGCCGCGUGGAUGAUGAAGGCCUUAGGAUUGUAAAAUCCUUUCACCGGUGAAGAUAAUGACUGUAGCCGGAGAAGAAGCCCCGGCUAACUUCGUGCCAUCCGCCGCAGUAAUAC
rnacentral:rRNA from 1 species